AUACCAAGAACUUUCCAGAGCAGAAGGAGGACUUUGCAUUUAGAAACCUCAAUGGAAGUGGACAGAUUGCAGCCCCCAGCUGUAAACCAGAGGGCUACGUAGCCCUGCCGCUUGUCCUUGGGAUCCUCCUGCGUCCUGUGGGAGGAAUACACAUCCCAUCUCAAUGGCUUUGGUCUUGGCCAUGUGAAAAGCUUUGGCCAAGGAAAUAGGAAGAUGAGGGUGAGGACUUCUAGGCCCUAAGGGCUAAGUCCAGCCAACAGAUGGAAGGAUCUUGCAUCUCCUGCUGAUGUCCACUGGACUCUUGACAUGGGACACUGGCCUGGCAGAACCCAGCAAAUCAUUGUCAGCUCACUGCUUUACAAGAAUAGUAUCACUUAUUUGUCCAUCAUAUAACUGGUGGUGUGUCUUCCAGACAGCUCUUUAUGGAACCAACAAAGGAAAAAAAAGAUUAGGACCUCAAUAUCCAAAAGGUGGUGCACCAGUGGGUGAGAAGCUUGGACUAGCAAAGGACGCAGCUGCUUAGAGCAUGAAAAGGUUUCCCUCAAAUGACCUCUCAUUCUUGCCAAGUGGUCAUGAGAAUAUGCCAUCAAAACAGAAGGCUCUCAGAAACAGGCCCUAUAGUUCUGUCAGCUAUGUUUAAUGAAAAAACAAACAACAGAAUUCUUCACAUAUGAAGAUGGAGAAAAAAAUCAGGAUACACUGAGACAUAGUUGGUAUUGGGUGAGUUCUUGAGAUGUUCCCUGAGAUGGGGGCUUGUUGUUUGAAGUGUUCUGAUGGCUAUUUUGCCCUUGGAUUAUUAUCCCAAGAUCUGGUGGCAUGGAGACCUCAUUGACCUCUGUUGACUCUGGAGAGCAAGGUGAUGAAUAAUUUGGAAAACCUUCAGGGUCCAAAGUUGUGUCUGGAUAAAUUAAA